AUACGUAGGGGGCGAGCGUUGUCCGGAAUGAUUGGGCGUAAAGGGCGCGUAGGCGGCCUUUUAAGUCUGGAGUGAAAGUCCUGCUUUUAAGGUGGGAAUUGCUUUGGAUACUGGGAGGCUUGAGUGCAGGAGAGGUUAUCGGAAUUCCCGGUGUAGCGGUGAAAUGCGUAGAGAUCGGGAGGAACACCAGUGGCGAAGGCGGGUAACUGGACUGCAACUGACGCUGAGGCGCGAAAGUGCGGGGAGCAAACAGGAUUAGAUACCCUGGUAGUCCACACUGUAAACGAUGAAUGCUAGGUGUAAGAGGUAUCGACCCCUUUUGUGCCGGAGUCAACACAAUAAGCAUUCCGCCUGGGGAGUACGGCCGCAAGGUUGAAACUCAAAUGAAUUGACGGGG
rnacentral:rRNA from 1 species